UACGAGGGGGGGCAAGCGUUGUUCGGAAUUAUUGGGCGUAAAGGGUGCGUAGGCGGUUUGGUAAGUCUUGUGUGAAAUCUCCAGGCUCAACUUGGAGUCUGCACGAGAAACUGCCGGGCUUGAGUGUGGGAGAGGUGAGUGGAAUUCCUGGUGUAGCGGUGAAAUGCGUAGAUAUCAGGAGGAACACCAAUUGCGAAGGCAGCUUACUACACAACGAUUGACGCUGAGGCACGAAAGCGUGGGGAUCAAACAGG
rnacentral:rRNA from 1 species